GAUGAACGCUAGCGGAAGGCUUAAUACAUGCAAGUCGAGCGGUAGGUGGCUUCGGCCAUUGAGAGCGGCGCACGGGUGAGUAACGCGUACAUGACCUGCCUGUCAGAAGGGGAUAGCCCUGGGAAACUGGGAUUAAUACCCUAUGGUAUUGAUAUUAUGAAUGAUAUCAAUUAAAGUUGAGGCGCUGACAGAUGGAUGUGCGUCUGAUUAGCUAGUUGGUAGGGUAACGGCCUACCAAGGCGACGAUCAGUAGGGGGCGUGAGAGCGUGGUCCCCCACACGGGUACUGAGACACGGACCCGACUCCUACGGGAGGCAGCAGUAAGGAUAUUGGUCAAUGCCCGCAAGGGUGAACCAGCCAUUCCGCGUGGAGGAUGAAGGCCCUAUGGGUUGUAAACUUCUUUUAGAUGGGAAGAAAUGUUAGAUGUAUCUGGUACUGACGGUACCAUCAGAAUAAGCACCGGCUAAACUCCGUGCCAGCAGCCGCGG
rnacentral:rRNA from 1 species